CCCCACCCCUUGUAGAUGAUGGAUUUCUAAGCAGGGGAAGCGCGGCCGCCCCGGGUUAGACACGCGUCUGUUUGCUUGCAGAUGUGCACACACUGUCUCCGGCUUCUUCUGUGGCUUGGUAGAAGCCCCAGCUUUUUAACUUAUUAAGCACAGCUCUUCCCUCUGUAGGACUGCAGGCAGGACAGUCCUCUUCCCGGGCUCACCGCAACAUUCAGUAGCUGCUUUGAAGGAACAGAAUAAGGUUGCCACAUGCCAGUCUGUCCUCCGAUCACUUCAGGGUUCCACUCACCGUGGGUUCAAGGCUUCUUUGAUUCUUUGUUUCCUUUAGUUUUCAUUCUCUCCUCUUCAGAACAAGAGUAGAUGGUUCGGUGUAUGCAAAUAUCACAGUUCCAGAAACCCACACCUGUGACUGAUGGGAGUGGUGGACAAAUACCCACAACUUCCUCUCUCUACUCUUGGCUGAGGACAAUUCUGAAGUGAGCCCUACACUGUCUCCCAGAUGCAGUCUGACCUGAGCCAUGAAGAAGUGCAGAGUCCCCAAGAGGCCAGAGAGCUCACGUCUGGUUAGAGUCGGGGUGUUUGAUGGGAAGAUGAAAGGAGGAGCUGGCAUCUGAGCAGGAAAUCAACAUUCAAGGGGAGACCCAAUGAAGAAGAUAGUGCCAGAACUUAAUGGAGGCAGCCCAAGAGGAACGUGUACCUGGGGAAGUCAAGAGCUAUUUCUUGGACAUUUGUGCCUCUAUUCCAAACUCUUCUCUCAGAGUAGAUGACAACUCAGGAAGGAGCCAGAGAUCUUCCUCAGUUGACUUGUUCAGAAAUAUGAUUUGGGAUUCAGUCUGGCCCGAAGCCAUGCUUCCAGCCUCAUCUCCACUGUGCACUUUCCAUGGCGUUCUGUCUUGGUCCACUUGGCUUGUGUAGCUGCCUGGCCUGGGUUGUCCUCCCCACCCUUGUCUGCUUGGUGGCACUUGGCCCUGUUCUAAUUGCUUCUGCUCGGGCAGCUUCUCUCCUCCCUCCUCUGUGCUCUGAGCACACUGGACAGAUUCCUGUUAGAGCUGUCACUGUCUUCCUGCUGUCUGCCCACUGACCUUGGAGCUCCAGGAGGACAGGAGCCUUAUCUUACCCCAUGACAUGGCCUAUGCCCAGCCUGGUGCCAACGUGGUCUGGAGGUAUCUGUAGGCUGAAUGAAAUUCUUCCCUCUGGGAUGCCCUUUAAA
ensembl:lncRNA LINC01968 long intergenic non-protein coding RNA 1968